rnacentral:lncRNA from 1 species
UGAAAACAUAUGUUUAUAAUCAUGAAUAUGUGUUUACCUGUAUUUUAUUUGGAAGAAGCUUUUAUGAAGAGAGGAGAAAGUGCAGGUGGUAGUGAAGGUGGUGCUGCUGUUCUUAUGAUUCUGGUUUAGAGUCAGGCAAACGGGACACUGACAGCAUUUCAUCUGAGAAACCCAUGGACAUUCAGCCCGAGGCAUCGAAUGUGGAUGGACACGUCAACAGCGCUGCCAUCUUGGACCGGUGGUGGAAAAGGAAUCAGUGCAAGGACAUUACGACACAAAAAGGAAAUGGAUGUGACGUCUGCAGCUGUAUUCUGUAUGGGAACCUGUUUGACCCUGUCAGGAUACUCCUACUACCUGUACAGGAGAAGUCGAGCCACUGUUGAACAACUUGAUAA